rnacentral:sRNA from 1 species
AUGUUUUAGCCCCAAAUAAGAACUCUGUUCUUAUCAGCUUAAUAUCUGAUAUGUUAGGCAAUGCCUAACUCAUAUAUUAAACUGAUUUUUGGACUUCGAAUCCUG